AGGUACCUGAAACUUCAUCUCCUCCUUAUGUAUGGAUCUAUUGUCCUGAAAAAAGGUUGCUGAUGGACCUCAAUCUUUACUGUUUCAGUCCUGCAGAGGCUAACUCGGUUUUGACCGACAUCAGUCGGGUCAUGCGGUGGGGCAGAAACCUGUGGACAAACUAUAGUAGGGACUUCCGAGGAACCUGAUGAGAUCCAGGGUGUCUGCAGUGUUUAG